rnacentral:rRNA from 1 species
UACGUAGGGUCCGAGCGUUGUCCGGAAUUACUGGGCGUAAAGAGCUCGUAGGUGGUUUGUCGCGUUGUUCGUGAAAACUCACAGCUUAACUGUGGGCGUGCGGGCGAUACGGGCAGACUAGAGUACUGCAGGGGAGACUGGAAUUCCUGGUGUAGCGGUGGAAUGCGCAGAUAUCAGGAGGAACACCGAUGGCGAAGGCAGUGGGCUGGGCCGGCACUGACGCUGAGGAGCGAAAGCGUGGGGAGCGAACAGG